CGCCGACAGCGUGGCAUUGGCGCCGCCGCCGAAGCCGGGGAAGCCCGCGGAGAGCACGGCGGGGCAGCUGACGAAGAGGUGGUAGCUCCCGGACACCCAGCUUCCGACCUUCCACUUGAUGCGGCCGUCGACCUUGACCUGCAGCGCGACGAACCCGGCGGCGACGUCCUGCUUCAUGGCGUCGGCGACGUACCCGGCGACGGGCACGGACUGGGCCGACAGGACCGGCGACCAGACGGUGACGUCGCGGUGGCCCUGGUACUGCGGCGGCAGCGAGACGGGGACCGUGACGGGCUCGUCGCGGUAGGUGACGAAGACGUCGAGGCGGCGGUAGAGGACGCCGACGUGGUCGUUGGGGUUGCGGGAGGCCAGCGUCACCUGCGCCGACGCCGAGAGGGACGGGUCGCCCACGGUGAUGGGGCGGCGGAGCUGCAGGUCCUGCAGGUAGAAGGACGGCUUGGAGGGGCGGAGCGCGAGGUAGACGACGAGCGCGACGAAGGCCACGAUGAGGACCAGCGCCAGGAGGCACGACGCCAUGCACCCGCAGCAGCGCCGCAGGUGGUGCUCGUGGCGGUGGUGCUUGCCCUCCUUGCUCAUGGCUGAUCAGUGGUCACGA
rnacentral:lncRNA from 1 species